rnacentral:rRNA from 1 species
AAUUGAAGAGUUUGAUCAUGGCUCAGAUUGAACGCUGGCGGCAGGCUUAACACAUGCAAGUCGAACGGUAGCAGGAAGAAGCUUGCUUCUUUGCUGACGAGUGGCGGACGGGUGAGUAAUGCUUGGGAAUCUGGCUUAUGGAGGGGGAUAACUACGGGAAACUGUAGCUAAUACCGCGUAGUAUCGGGAGAUGAAAGACUGGGACCGCAAGGCCAGUUGCCAUAAGAUGAGCCCAAGUGGGAUUAGGUAGUUGGUGGGGUAAAGGCCUACCAAGCCGACGAUCUCUAGCUGGUCUGAGAGGAUGACCAGCCACACUGGAACUGAGACACGGUCCAGACUCCUAC